rnacentral:rRNA from 1 species
UACGUAGGGGGCAAGCGUUGUCCGGAUUUAUUGGGCGUAAAGAGCGUGUAGGCGGCUUGGCAAGUCCGCUGUGAAAACUUGAGGCUCAACCUCGAGACGUCGGUGGAAACUGCCUGGCUAGAGUCCGGAAGAGGAGAGUGGAAUUCCUGGUGUAGCGGUGAAAUGCGCAGAUAUCAGGAGGAACACCAAUGGCGAAGGCAGCUCGCUGGGACGUGACUGACGCUGAGACGCGAAAGCGUGGGGAGCAAACAGG